rnacentral:rRNA from 1 species
CCAGCAGCUGCGGUAAUUCCAGCUCCAAUAGUGUAUAUUAAAGUUGUUGCAGUUAAAAAGCUCGUAGUCGAAUGUAGAGUUAUAGAUGCUGAAGUGUCUUUUAGGAGACAAAUUUCGGCGUUUAUAAUUUUUUUCUACCGACCACUGUUCGUUUUUAGAUAAACGAAUUUGAGGUGCCGGUAAAUUUUACUGUGAAUAAAUUAGAGUGUUCAUGGCAGGCCACUAGGGCUUAAAUAUCUCAGCAUGGAAUAAUAGAAUAGGACUUCUGGUUCUAUUUUGUUGGUUUUCGGAGCCGAAGUAAUGAUUAAUAGGAAUAGUUGGGGGCACUCGUACUCCGUUGUCAGAGGUGAAAUUCUUGGAUUUACGGAAGACGAACAACUGCGAAAGCAUCUGCCAAGGAUGUUUUCAUUGAUCAAGAACGAAAGU